CUGUGAUGCAUUAUACGUUUUGGCAAUAGCUGUACCUUCCUUAUUAUGGAAUCUUAGACUGUCAGACUUAGAGGGGAGCUAAAGAAUCAUUGGAUUCAGAAAUUUCCAACCUGGCCUCUGUCAAGGUCAUAACGGGGUCUUUGAGCUAUUUUCAAAAUUCCAAAAGCCUAAAUGGAAUCGCACAUUAACAUAACAUGCUGUUGAUGUUUUUGUUUGUUUGUUUGUUUUCUUUUGGCAGAUUUGUCCACGUCUCUGCCCUGCUUCAAAUCCUUCAGAGGCUCCCCAUCACCCACAGGGAUGAUCUUUCUGAAAUGGAUUUGGCCAUGCCAGUCUCCUGCCUGAAACAGCCCUCCUGGCUCCUUGUCACUCAAAGGAAAAGGCAAACUCCUCAAGACUGCACAUAAUGCCCACCUUCCCAACCAGCCUCUCCUACUGCCACUCUCUCUCCUACACCCUACCUUCCAAACCCUACUUGGGGUUCACCCUCACAUGCUGGAGUUUUCCCAUCUCUGAGACUUCAUUCAGGCAGUUCCUUCUGGCUUCGGAGGCUUCUUUGUUCCUAAAGUUCAUACUUUAAGACCUAGCUGAAAUAUCAAGGCUUCCUGGACUCUGCAGGUGACACGAGCCACUGUGCUCCUGGAUGCUUCAGAACCUGUGCAGAUCUCUGUCUUCACUCCUACUAUGGCAUCUCCUAGCAUGUUCUACACUGAGCUCCACUGGGCCUUGCAUGUCAGUAUCCCGAAUUCUGAAUGAAGCUUGGAACAUGGGAGGUGCAUCCACUAACAACAUGAAGAAUGAAGACAUGUAUUGACUACCUUUGACAAAAGUAUGUCAAAAGCAAUACAUCUUACUAGUGGAGCGAAGACACUGCAUGCUGACAAAGGUGAUCUCAGAUGUGAGGUCGAUGGUGCGCCAUGCAAUCAGCUUGCUGAGUGAGCCUACUUAUGCCCCAUCCCGGGGGCCUAGGGUAAGAAAAGUGCCAAGCGAAGCUGAGGAUCAGACUAAAGCUGGAAGGUGUCAAGGCACAGGCUGAGUCAUCAGAACACCUUCCCUGAAUUGUGUCAAACAAGUGUACAUGUGCUCAAGUGUAUCUGGAUUCUGAUUUGGCUGCACAGUCACUGUUUUCCAGAUGUUUGCAGAAGAAAUAUGAGCUGGAGGAGACUCACUGAAAGCUGGAACUAGAAGGAUGCACACUGCUCAUCCAAGCCAAUUCACUUAUUUUACCAAUGAUAAAACUGAGUCUCAGAGAAGUCAUACGCUUGCCCAAAGACACAGCUUGUGGUGGAGGAGUCAACACCAGAACUCUGGUCCAGGACUGCAAAAAAACACUUAACAUGUGCUAAUAAUGAGGAUAAAAGAUACUUCAAAUUCUGGGAGUUCUAUAAUGUUUGAGCACAUAUACCAUUGAAUCCUUUUAAUAACCCAUCGCUUACACAGAUGAGGAAACCAAGGCUCAUAGAAAUAAAGUGCUUUGCCAAAAGGCACAAAACUGGUCAGUAAUAAAUCUGAUCUCCAGGUUCCCAGUCCAGAACUUUCUGCAGCACUAUCUUUUUGUUCCCUUUAACUACCAGAAGCUUUAACCCAAAAUGAGGCUUCAACUAUAAAAGCUAUUUAAGACCUUAUGGCUGCGUAUCUCUGCCCUAAGUUUUCUCUUGAUCCUUAUUUUAUAUUCUAAUGUUUAAAACUUGUUCCCCAAAUUUUUAAAGUUUGCAUUCAUUUUAUUUCAAUAAGCCACGCCAAAAUCUGUGUGUCAUAAGCUAUCUAUACGUAAAUAAAUGAACGAAUGAAUGAGCAAACAAACAAAAUCUUAAGAGGCAGAGUAACAUGGUGGAAAAAUACCAGGCUUACAUUCAAUUCAAUACCACUUUGUCUAUUGUCUUCAUCUUUGAGCCUCACUUUCAUUAUCUGUCAAACAGGUCUAACAAAAUUUAUCAUUAAGCAUUAUUAUAAGUCUAAAAAUAAACAUGGAACAUAUGAAGAAGGUUUGUAUGUUAUCAGUGGUAUCUAAAUUGGCAGCUCAUAGUAGUAUUACUAGUAAUAAUAAUAUAAACAAAGAAGCCUGAUUAAUGCAAGUGAGAUGAGUUAUUUGACUCCAGAAACCCCGCCUCCAGACAUGAGUUACGGCUCUCAUUGGGUUUUAUG
rnacentral:lncRNA from 10 species